AAUAAUAUCUUAUGUGUUUUACUAUUAAAUACAAUUAACUAAUUUUUCUUAUAUUAAAACUAUAUUCUUUGAUAAAUAAAGUAUUAACAUGACGACAUAUUUUAAAAAGAUUUAUUAUUUCUUUUUGUCACAUUUAAAUAGGAUAUCGUCAAUAGCAAGUAUUCUUUGUUUAAUUGAUUGUAUUUUAAUACCAAUCAUUACAUUUAUAUUAUCGUUUAUAAAUAUUUUAACCAGCGCAACUGAUGGAUAUAAUUACGGUGGACAUGAUAGUCACCAUCACCAGCAUCAUGACAGUUUGUGGAAUAAAAUAAUUAAUAAAAUUUCCUUGUACUUAAUUAUGCCCUUAUUUUCCUUUACUACUAUUUACAAUUAUAUUUUGUUAAAAAAUAUUUAUUUAUUAUUAUCGGGCAUGUUAGGAAUUAUAUUAUUUUUAUUGUCCCAUGCUAAUAUAAAUGAGAAAAUUAAUGAGUAUCACUUACCAAUGGAAAUAUUAGGAUUUGUUUUUUUAUUAGGCACAAAUUAUAUUACGCGUAAACUUUUAAAAGAAAACAAUUUAGAUACUUGUUGUGAACAUAAGCAACUAAUGCAUGAGAUAAAAGAUGACAUGCAUACUGAUCUUAAAAUAAUUAAAACAAAUGAACAGGACUCAGGUACAUCAACACAUGGAG
rnacentral:lncRNA from 1 species